AACGAACGCUGGCGGCAUGCCUAACACAUGCAAGUCGAACGAGACCUUCGGGUCUAGUGGCGCACGGGUGCGUAACGCGUGGGAACCUGCCCUUAGGUUCGGAAUAACUCCCCGAAAGGGGUGCUAAUACCGGAUAAUGUCUUCGGACCAAAGAUUUAUCGCCUUUGGAUGGGCCCGCGUUGGAUUAGCUAGUUGGUAGGGUAAAAGCCUACCAAGGCGACGAUCCAUAGCUGGUCUGAGAGGAUGAUCAGCCACACUGGGACUGAGACACGGCCCAGAAUCGUACGGGAGGCAGCAGUGGGGAAUAUUGGACAAUGGGCGAAAGCCUGAUCCAGCAAGGCCGCGUGAGUGAUGAAGGCCUUAGGGUUGUAAAGCUCUUUUACCCGGGAUGAUAAUGACAGUACCGGGAGAAUAAGCUCCGGCUAACUCCGUG
rnacentral:rRNA from 1 species